UGAUAUAUAAAUCUUUCAUUUACAACCACAAAAUGGUGAGUAAUGUUGAGAAGGAAGAAGAAAGGAAGAUUAUGAGGAAGAAGAGGAGGAAGAAGAGGAGGAGUAGGAUUUAAAUGAAGGAAAAUAACAGGGACAAAGUUUUAAAUCAUAUUAUUCGUUAUUUCUUUCUUUAUUCAGUAUUUCCUUAUUCCUUUCUUUAUUUUCGUUUACUUCCUCCUCUUAUCCCUUUUCUGCCAGAGGAGGAAGGGGAAGAGAGGAGGAUGAGGGUGAGGAAGACGAGGAAGAGGAAGAGGAUUAAAUUUCUUGCAUUUUUCUUAGACAGUCCUCAGGAUGUCAACAUUGUAUAUUGGUACAGUGUUGAGACAGGGACGGUCGCGUUAUAAUUCACUAAUUGAGGUUACUUUUGAUAAAUAAACAACUAGUACGGAGUCUUUUAAGUAUUUUAGACUAUCUUAUACCGGAAAAUAUUAAGGAAAAGUGGCGUAAAUAAGAAAAAAAGGCAAAGAUUAGAGAUGUGGGAUUUUAUAACUUGUGGUAUCUUAAAAUACUAGUAUAAGAUAAACCCUAUGCAAAACGAAUAAUAUAACCUUUAUUAAUCAUCAUAACCUAGAAAACCGAUAAAUAUAUAUAUAAAAACCAGUGUAAUUAGUAAAAAACAAAAAAACUGUCCCUUGGAAGUGAGACGGCCCACAGAGUCGCGCCAAAAACGUGGAUCUACAGGCCAGGCAUCUUAUGUUUAACCAGGUGUACAAGGUGCUGGCUUUCAAGGGCCCCUCCACACCUACAGACACACGCACACACCACCAGAUACAGGAAGCUGUGGACCUCUGGGUAUGGACGCUGUGGGCAGCUUGGUCGCGGCACGGCAGAUAACUGCCCCAUUCCUCGCACUGUGCUUGACCUGUGUGGCUCAGAGGUCGGCCAGGUCGCCUGUGGGAGAGGUCAUACCCUGGUCUACAUCCCCUUGCAGGGCCACGUGUAUGCAUUUGACCAGGGGCUCUGAGGGCAGCUGGGCACCAAGACUCCACACAGCAGGGAAUUACCUCAAGGGGUAGUGUGCCCAUGGGUGUCCCCAGGGGGUGCCAGCGGAGGACAGCCUCACUGUGUGUUUGAGGCAGGUCUUCGCAGGGGGUGACGUCAGCAUGGCCACCGUCAGCAGGGAGAGUGGGGGUGCUGAGGACUUUUGCAGCCCUCCCCUACCCCGACCAGAUGCCCCUCUCUCUCACAACUCAAGAACAUAUGAUUAAGAAACUUCUGUCAAUUGAGGACGAUUUGUUUAUGUACACAGAGACAGUGUUUGCCUCAGUGUGCGCUUGGAACAGCUCCCUCACGCUUGCUGGCUUGCACAAACACACACAUGGGCUGGACUACCGUUUGGCUGAGGACUGUGUGGCUCAGAUUGGCCGGAUUGCAAGGGAGACCAUCCAGGAAGUGGCGAGUUCGUACUGGCAUUCAAAACGUGGCCAAGAGUCUUCCUUCGCAUCCCCCAGCCAGGACGCCUUACGCUGUUAUGUCCUUCCCCUGUACAAGGACUUCACUGACCCUAAACAAACGGCCAAACUCCAAACGCCGUAUGCUGAGGGAGUGUUGAAGCUUGGCAAGGAGAUGGCGGAGGUGUUCAAGACCGGCGUGCCCUUGUGUCUUCCCUGCGGCUGUUGUCCCUGGUCCACGGUCUGAACUUCCAAGCCGGCUGCCGAGUGGGGCGGUUGAACUGCGACGACUUUUACAUCCCAGAAAUUGCAGAGAAAAUUGAUAUUAGGAAUGAUUACUUGAACUGGAUGAACAGCAGGCUUCACCCGAUGUCCAGGAGGGAGAGUCCAAUCCUGUUCUGUGAGUAUCCAUUCUUGUUCGAUCCUCAGGCCAAGACGCUGCUGCUCAGGUGUGACGCCACUCGGCAGGGCGAAUGUUUCCCAGACCACCCGGUCAUACGCACGUUCUGGGAAGUAUUUCAAACUCUCCCUGGAGCAGAAGAAGUGGUUUUUGAAGUUCCUGACGGGCACUGACAGGGUUCCUAUUCUGGGCAUGAAGG